rnacentral:rRNA from 1 species
UACGGAGGGUGCAAGCGUUAUCCGGAUUUACUGGGUUUAAAGGGUGCGUAGGUGGGCGAGUUAAGUCAGCGGUGAAAUCUCUGGGCUUAACCCAGAAACUGCCCAUUGACUACUAUCUGUCUUGAAUAUCCUGGAGGUGAGCGGAAUAUGUCAUGUAGCGGUGAAAUGCUUAGAUAUGACAUAGAACACCAAUGCGAAGGCAGCUCACUACGGGGUUAUUGACACUGAGGCACGAAGCGUGGGAUCAAACAGG